CUGCAUAUGGAUUGGAUUUCACACAUUGCGGUAGCUCUCCUUUGGUGCUGAAAUGCAGCGAACCAUUUUGGUCAAAGGAAAAACGUUAUACUAGUAGCCAAACAAGGGCAAAGGCAAGAAUACGAGGAUUUAUCACUACAUCUAGAGGACAGUGACUACUGCAACUCUGUUGGCUGGCUCCCUGCUUAUGCCAUCAAACCCCUGCAACUUAUCCAGAACGUAGCAGCCGCCCGAUGUUCAACGUUCCCAUGUUCUCCCAUUUCACCCUGCUCCUCCGCACAGUCAACUGGUUUCCAGUCGAAGUUCGCAUCCCAUGCUGCCUGCCUACGGAGCAGAUAGAGGAACUGCCCCUCCCUAUCUUCAGGCUAUGCUCAAACCCUACACCCCAACCCGAGCACUCCGUUCUGCAGCCUCUUGGCCAUUCCACCUCUAUGAUGUGCCCUUGAGCAAGACGCUUAACCCUAAUUGCUCCUAAGGUCCAGCACCACCCUCCAGCACCAUCCUCCAGCGCCAUCCUCAGACAAUUGCUUUCAUUUUUGGUGUAAUUCUCAUUUGUGGAAAAUGCUUAAAAUAAAGGUUAAAGUACAGGUCAUAUGACGCGAUCAAAACACAGAGCCCUAGCACGGGCCACACACCUUCAUUAACACUCAGUGCUCCUGACUCUACAGCUCAUUUUAAUUAAAUAAUUUGAUACACUUUCAAUCCAUGUUCUUUUCAAAGCUUGAGAUUUGGUUAGUACUGUAGGUCAACUAAGGGCUCCUAGACAUUUUCUAAUAGUCAUGUUCCAUUUGCUUCAUUAUGUCUGCUUGUGAUAAAAGUAAACGUUACACCAUGCAGGGUUACUUGUGUAACAGUUGCCUUGCAAUGUACCUCUACGAUGAUGUGAUAUUCAACAAGAAACAACAUUUGUAAAAAAGGUGGUUCUAUUAUGAUCCUUUUUUCUGUUCUUCUAAUCUCUGACUCAGUUGAUUUGAUUUCAGUUUGAGUCAUGGAUCUGUGAGUCACCAAUUGUCUUACAAUUGUAGUCAAUAAACAGAGUACAGAACAGCAAUCAGGAGAAACAACAAUUCUGUAUAUACAAUCCUAAUUCUGCAAUUAUGCUGGCAUGUUUAACCUUCCUCCUCUUCUUCUGCUACUAUUGUACUCUACCUACUGUAGAGUACAGUAGCAGGGCAUCUGCCCUCUCCUGCCCUUGAUUUCUGAGCAAAGACUAGAUAACAAUCGAGAAGAAUGUCAGUAACUGUUCAUGUCACACUGAAA